AAACCAUGAUGAGGACACUCUAAGAGGAGGUCUUUGAAUCGUUCCAUACAUCGAGAGAAUGGUUCAUUGGGUUUCUGAUGAAACUGGAGAAUAUCGUUCCUGAGCUU
rfam:Cephalotus follicularis DNA, scaffold: scaffold2992, isolate: St1.